rnacentral:lncRNA from 1 species
AAUAUAUUUUUAACUACAUGUACUUUCUUGAUUUUAAUGUAAUCCAGAAAUCAUAUCUCUAGAAAGUAUAUUUAUACAAAUAUUUUCGCUAUAUUAUUUUAUAACAAAUGCAGAAAAUUCAAAUGAUGCACAGGAUAACCUAAACUGGACGAGAAUUGCUUUUAGGUAAGGAGCUUAUGUUAAUAAUAUAAAGAUGAUUGCAUAUAGUAAAUAUGUUUAUGCAUGAGAGUAUAACGUGCACAAUGUAUAACUUAAAACAAGUAGGAUCUACAUUUUUUUUUAAAUGUCCUGCAACAAGUCAGAAAUAUGGCAGUUGGUGUUUGUUUUGUUACAUUUCGGUGUUCUCUUUUUCCCCUCUUUUAGUUAAUCAUGUGUUUCCCUCGGUUUUAUUUAGUAAGCCGGAUUUGUUUUCGAUUUAUGACUCUUGAACAACGGUAUACUACUGCCUUUAUUUAUAAAAAUAAAUAUCUUAUUUCAAAUGAAUCUUUAAGACACUGCUUUUGAAAAGUCUUUUCCCUACAAUACCAGAAUCGUUAGUUUGAAACUUUUUCUCGAAUAAAACUUACCAAAGAUACCAGGCUCCAGUUUUGUUUACAAUAAAUGUCACUUCAGUGAAGCUGUUGGCCAAAUUAUAUAAAAUCUAAAACUAUAACUACUGUUUAUAAUCUGACCAAAACAAGAAGAAGUUAAGAUAAGCCCAAUCCGGACAAAUAAUCAGAGCUUUGCAUAAAUAAGAAAUACUUUUGAAGGAUUUCAAGAAUUUUGCAUCAGAAAAUUCUAAUAAAAAAAUCCACAUUUCCAUACCAGAAUCAAAGUACUAGUUACUUAGCUAGGGAUAUCCUCGGAGACUGACGACAAACGGCAGCAUUUAAAAGAAAAUUGGAUCAUGCGAAAAUGUUUUCUCGUUAUCAAACAAAAUAGAUUAAUGUUGUUCACGGGUGAAAUUACAUGAUCUAAGUUAUGCACGUAAAGUUUUUUUUUAAUCAAAUACCUUUAAUAUUACUUAAAAAAAAAUAAGGAUUGAGAGUAUUCUACAAUAAGCGUGAAAACCCUUUGUAAGACUGCAAAUUUAAAUCGUGUCGGUUAGAAAAUCUACUAAUCGGUUAAUUCAAGAUACUGCGCUGGAACCUAUCUCCGGAUGAAAGAGUCAUCUACAAUACAUAGCAUGAAAUAAGCGUUAUGUUAUCUUUAAUGACUAUAUUUUGAAAAUGAAAUGCAAUAAAAAAAGGAUUACUGGUAAUAAUUUAACUGACUGCACCAAAUGUGCAUUUUGAUAAGAAUGCAUGGAGGAUUGAGGAAUGAUUUAUUCAUACAUUAAACAAUUAUGUUAAACAUUUUUUUCAAAUGAUUACAGUGUCCUAUCAAUGUUAACAAAUGUCUAAUUUGAAAAGAACAUAAACAUGAGCAUUAUGCAUUCUUUCCUCUUUCACAAUGGUGCAGUCAGUAAAUAGUACCAGUAGUAAUAUCUGUAUUUAUAUAUAUAUAUGUCAUCAUUUUAUUUCAGAAAUGACAUUGACAGCAGAAAGUAUCCAGAACUUUUUGGAAGUGAUUGUUUCGCUUCGCUCUUUUCCAUUAUUUUGUUUCCACUUCGCUAUUGUAUUGUUAUAUCCGGUAUGGGAAAAAUGGACAACCGCCUUUGAUAUUAAACUAGUGAGUAAACGAAGAUAAAAACAGUAUCUAUUCAGUGAAGCUGGUUAACCUUAAAAUGAUAUAGCGAUCUCCUUAUUUGGUGUACAUUUACAAACAUUAUGUGCUACAUGAUACCGAAUGUCUUCUUUCUAUUUGUCUUAGUCACAAUAGUGAUCUGAUGGCGUGUCAUUAUACAUUGCUCAGCAAGAAUCUUAACAAACAUGAUUAUAGCUGACUAUGCGAUAAGGGCUUUGUUCAUUGUUGAAGGCCGUAAGGUGACCUAUAGCUCUUAAUUUCUGACAUUUGGUCUCUUGUUGAGAGUUUUCGUAUUGGCAAUCAUACCAUAUCUUUUUGUUAUAACGUUUAAGUUAAAUUUCCUAGAUAGAGGAAAACAACUGGAAUGUUCCCGCGUAAGGUAUUUCAUUGUUAUAAAUUUAGAAAAUAUUUGUUUCUCAUUUAAGGAAAGUGGUUUUAGCAUGAUAAGCUGAUAAAUAAGAUCUAUAAUGUACAUUUAUAACUUUUCUUAACUAAUUGGAUGGUAUUGAGCUAUGUACUCUAGAUGUAGUUUGGUCUAUUGUAGAAACCGUAUUUCAACCUCUAAAUGCAUUUCGUUUAUGCAAGGUUACUGCCUACGCAUGUUCAUCAUAUAUAACUACUUAUUUAUUAUAUGGUCAUUUACAACUCAUGGGGGUAUCAAAAAGAUAACAGUUUCAUUAUGUGGUAUCAGCUGAAAUCGAAAAUAUUGUUUAUUUAUUCCUUAUAUAUUUGCAUGUAGUUUAAAGGCUUUGAAGGAGUCGACUGUCGCUGUAACAGUUGUUGUUGGUGAACUGUAAAAUAUAUUAUGUUGAUUCUUGCUAUCCCAGUCUAUGUGUUAUUGUUUUUACUUUUAACUUGUUGUUCUGGAUAAAGGAGCUAUUAUAUUUGCUACAAUAAAGACGUUUAUUGCAAUAAGCAAAAUUAUAUUAUAGCAUGUUAAAAUUGCAACAUUAUCAUGUGAAAGCAACAUGAAAGUUAUUAUGAUAUUGUAAGAUAUUGUGAUAUAAAACAGCUGAACACACAAUAAACAUUAUAACACUGUAUUCAUGAAAAAACAAACCAAAUAUCUAUGUAACUACGUUAGUGUGAAAGUUCUCAGUUUUCAAUUGUCACGCAAAAAGGACAUUAAAUUGUAAGCAAUUAUUUUAUUUGAACUUUUAGUAAUAAAUACAAUGUGUUUUUAUUUGGCCGUGUAUAAUGAUAUCUUAAAAAGUCUAUACUGUAUAUAUAAUAAUGCUAGACAACAAUUUCUCUCUACAUAGGGUAAUAUUUACCUGGCAAGUUUUUAUGUCAACCCAAUAUGUAUUUUUAUUUUUUUAUGCAAUUUAUAAGAUAUCAAUCUUAUCACUAAAGAUUUAUCAGUCAGAAUGAAAACCUACAAUGAGAGCCAGGUUCUAACGAUACAUUAUUUUUUACCAAAUUUUACUGAAAUGCUGAAGACUUCAAAUCAGGUAUAUGAAGAUUCCAAUCUUUUAGACUUCCCAUUUUUUAAGAGUAGUAUACCCUCUGUCCUAUCAUAAAACGUUUGUGUAUGUCGGAUACGUACUUACAUGUCGACAUUUUAUGGAGUUGACUUAUAGGACUCCUAACGUUGAAAAUGCUUUAGUUUGGUCAUUUGAAAACUUAUAGGACUCCUAACGUUUAAAAUGCUUUAGUUUGGUCUUUUGAAAACUUAUAGGACUCCUAACGUUGAAAAUGCUUUAGUUUGGUCAUUUGAAAACAUGAAUAAAAUCAUCAGUACACAAAUUGUACUGUCACCAUCACAACGAGGUUGACCGAACCCAACUUUCAUUACACGAAAGACAUCCAUUUUUAGAUUUAGAUCUUUAGAGACAAGAAGAUUUGUAAAUUGACAGUUCACUUUUGUAAUUUGUUCACCGAUUUAAAUUUUUUCUAUCCAUGCAUACAUAGCAAGAUAAACAUACUCUGUCGACAUACCCUGACUCGGUCUGUUUGCUAUUCCUUAGAUUAUAUUAGGCUUCCUGGGUCUUAGAUUGUAAUUUCAGAAUUAAUUACUUUUUUGACAUUGGUAUUUGAUGUUGAUUCUUAUUCAUACACAAGCAACACAUAAAUUUUUUUUAUCCGACUUCCCACCUUCACGAUAGGCUCUAGAUACUAUAGUUUCUAUAGAUUGCAGAACUCGAUUUCAAUCACAAACAUUUAAUUGGUGCCGUUUUGAAAAAAGUGCAGGUGUCAUCUAUCUUAUCCUGGUAUACCUGAUAUACUUUUCCUGUGGAGAAAAGAUUGCUUUAUUAUUUUGAGAUAAUGGUCUCAUAUUUUAAACAAUACAAAAAAUGACUGCAAAUGGAGAUUUGAAUACAUUAACCACUUAACUUUCUUCGGACUUGUGGUCUUGAUUUUGUAUGUUUUUCUUUUUCAGUUGAUGACACUUCAUAAUUUUGGUUGCAGCCUUGUAUCCGCGUAUACGUUCUUUGGGUUUUUAAAUUGUUUUUCUGUUAUUGAAUCAACAUUUAAACUUGGACCAGAGCAAUGUCUGUUACCAUAUUUCAAGGUGUAUUGGAUUUCAAAAAUGUUGGAGUUAUUUGACACAGUGGUUAUGAUUCUACGCCAUAGACGAAAACAAAUCAGUUUUCUUCAUGUUUAUCAUCAUAGUACCAUGAUGUUACUGGCAGAUGCUGGAUUCCAUCUUUUUCCAUGGCCACCAAUGUCUGUUUACUUUGCAACCAAUUCAUUGGUUCAUUUCAUAACAUAUCUGAUUUAUGGAUUAUCGACCUUAUUCCCCGAGAAAUUGUUGUUUUGGAGAAAGUUGAAUACAAAGAUGGAAAUUCUUGAGCAUUUAGUGCUAUUCGUUCAUGUUACAUAUGGAUAUUUUAACAAAGGCUUUUGUGUAUAUGGUGUGC